GCUAGCUAACAUGCAGGUCAGGCGGCAUUUGCUCUGCGUGACUGACCGAGAGCCGAGGACCAGGAGCAGCCAGCUCUGUGUACCCACGGACAAAGGUUGCAUGUGAAAGAGAAAUGUUCCACCACACCAGCUCUGCACCACGAAAGGUGUCGUGUGGAAAAUGCAUCUUUCUCUGCUGAGAGAUAACCGAGGAGCUGGGGUAUC
rnacentral:lncRNA from 1 species